rnacentral:lncRNA from 1 species
UACGUUUUCUGAGGUUUGCAUUCAUCAGAAUCAUCAAAUACGCAUUUUCUUAAAGUCACAGUGCUCCUUGUAGCAGUUCUUGCUGCAGUGUUCGGAACCAGCAUGGCCAAGGGUCAUGGUGGUGGUCAUGGUCAUGGUCAUGGAGGUGGUCAUGGAGGUGGAAAGGGUCAUGGCGGCAAAGGUCAUGGUGGUGGCCAUGGGGGCAAGGGACACGGAGGCCAUGGUGUCGGACACGGGGGCAAAGGACAUGGAGGCGGCCAUGGAGGAAAGGGGCACCAUGGAUAAACAUAGCAGCUGAAAGAUGUGUGACGAGAAAGCCCUUGUUUUUUAUUCCACUGCUGCUGGACAACGGGGAAACAACAGCUCAUGUAAAGGUGCGCUG